rnacentral:rRNA from 1 species
GACGAACGCUGGCGGCGUGCCUAAUACAUGCAAGUCGAGCGAAGUUUUUCUGGUGCUUGCACUAGAAAAACUUAGCGGCGAACGGGUGAGUAACACGUAAAGAACCUGCCUCAUAGACUGGGACAACUAUUGGAAACGAUAGCUAAUACCGGAUAACAGUAUUUCUCGCAUGAGAGAUAUUUAAAAGUUGGUUAUGCUAACACUAUGAGAUGGCUUUGCGGUGCAUUAGCUAGUUGGUGGGGUAAAGGCCCACCAAGGCGACGAUGCACAGCCGACCUGAGAGGGUGAUCGGCCACACUGGGACUGAGACACGGCCCAGACUCCUACGGGAGGCAGCAGUAGGGAAUCUUCCGCAAUGGGCGAAAGCCUGACGGAGCAACGCCGCGUGAGUGAAGAAGGAUUUCGGUUCGUAAAGCUCUGUUGUUAGGGAAGAAUGGAUAUGUAGUAACUAUACAUGUAAGAGACGGUACCUAACCAGAAAGCCACGGCUAACUACGUG